AUUGAACGCUGGCGGCAGGCCUAACACAUGCAAGUCGAGCGGAUGACGGGAGCUUGCUCCUUGAUUCAGCGGCGGACGGGUGAGUAAUGCCUAGGAAUCUGCCUGGUAGUGGGGGGCAACGUUUCGAAAGGAACGCUAAUACCGCAUACGUCUUACGGGAGAAAGCAGGGGACCUUCGGGCCUUGCGCUAUCAGAUGAGCCUAGGUCGGAUUAGCUAGUUGGUGGGGUAAUGGCUCACCAAGGCGACGAUCCGUAACUGGUCUGAGAGGAUGAUCAGUCACACUGGAACUGAGACACGGUCCAGACUCCUACGGGAGGCAGCAGUGGGGAAUAUUGGACAAUGGGCGAAAGCCUGAUCCAGCCAUGCCGCGUGUGUGAAGAAGGCCUUCGGAUUGUAAAGCACUUUAAGUUGGGAGGAAGGGCAGUAAGCUAAUACCUUGCUGUUUUGACGUUACCGACAGAAUAAGCACCGGCUAACUCUGUGCCAGCAGCCGCGGUAACAC
rnacentral:rRNA from 1 species